rnacentral:piRNA from 1 species
CAGAUUCUCAUUGAACAGUUUCUUCU